rnacentral:rRNA from 1 species
AGUGGCGGAUGGGUGAGUAACACGUGGGGAACCUGCCCCUAAGUCUGGGAUACCAUUCGGAAACAGGUGCUAAUACCGGAUAAUAAAGCAGAUCGCAUGAUCAGCUUUUGAAAGGCGGCGUAAGCUGUCGCUAAGGGAUGGCCCCGCGGUGCAUUAGCUAGUUGGUAAGGUAACGGCUUACCAAGGCGACGAUGCAUAGCCGAGUUGAGAGACUGAUCGGCCACAUUGGGACUGAGACACGGCCCAAACUCCUACGGGAGGCAGCAGUAGGGAAUCUUCCACAAUGGACGCAAGUCUGAUGGAGCAACGCCGCGUGAGUGAAGAAGGUUUUCGGAUCGUAAAGCUCUGUUGUUGGUGAAGAAGGAUAGAGGUAGUAACUGGCCUUUAUUUGACGGUAAUCAACCAGAAAGUCACGGCUAACUACGUGCCAGCAGCCGCGGUAAUACGUAGGUGGCAAGCGUUGUCCGGAUUUAUUGGGCGUAAAGCGAGCGCAGGCGGAAAAAUAAGUCUAAUGUGAAAGCCCUCGGCUUAACCGAGGAACUGCAUCGGAAACUGUUUUUCUUGAGUGCAGAAGAGGAGAGUGGAACUCCAUGUGUAGCGGUGGAAUGCGUAGAUACAUGGAAGAACACCAGUGGCGAAGGCGGCUCUCUGGUCUGCAACUGACGCUGAGGCUCGAAAGCAUGGGAAGCGAACAGGAUUAGAUACCCUGGUAGUCCAUGCCGUAAACGAUGAGUGCUAAGUGU